ensembl:snRNA U1 U1 spliceosomal RNA
AUACUUGCCUGGCAGGGGAGAUACCAUGAUCACAAAAUGGUUUUCCCAGGUUUUUGUCCGUUGUACUCAGGAGGUGCCGACCCCAGUGAUUUCCCCAAAUGUGGCAAACUCAACUGCAUAAUUUGUGGUGGUGGGGGACUGUUCGUGUUCUCCCCUG